UAGGAUUGUCCAGUCAAACAUUUUUAACUUUGACCAAGUCAGAAAAAAAUGUGCUAAGAUCUACAAUAUUAAAUAUAUAUACAUAUUAUAAAAAUAACUUUUAUAAUGAAUCUAAUGACACAAAUUUGAUGUUGUAGAUGUUGAUAUAUUUUUCUAUAAACUUGGUCAAACUUAACGAAGUUUGACUCAGGACAAACCCAA
rnacentral:pre_miRNA from 1 species